AGUAAUAUUAAAAAGGGAGGAAUAAGUUGUUACAAAUUGAAUCUCUAUUUGAUCAAAAGUGGAAUAGAGCUAUAUUUAUAAUUUAAAUACAACUUCCCAAUAGCAUAAGUAAUAAAUCAUCUCUAGCAAUAACAUACAGAUGAUACAAUACAAAUUGAGUUGUUAAAUUUUAAUACAAGCAACUUAUAUGAUGUUUAAAAUAUCUCUAUUUUCAUAACGUCUUUGCAGGUAUAUGCUCGAUGUUUGUCCUCAUGGCAAGAUCGAAAAAAAUAUAGCAGAUCCUCUAAUAACUCUACUGGAUACCUUGAGAUACAUAUUUAAAAAAAUAAGUAAUGACAUAUAAUAAUAUUCUUUCACGAUCCGAAACCAACAAUUCUAUUUAAUAUAUCCUAUUAUCACAUAAAUGCAGUUGUGCUUAGUUGUUCUAUUUUAUAGAACACUCAAAUUAAAAGGAUCAGCAAGUUUCUUUCCUAGUGUCAUUGUUUCAGGAAAUUAGUACCAGCCCUGCAUGCACUUGAAACCACAAAAUGCAAUCAAAUAGGAAGUUGCUCUAGCAAAAUAAUCAUUCAAGAAUCAAAUGCAAAUUUAUCUUACAAAAACUAAGCCAAUCAAACAGUACACUGCUCCAGCAAAUUUAGUAUUCAAGAUACAUAUCAUAUGUAAACAUGACUAAUACUCUUACAUUUAGAAAGAAGUCAAAUUCACAAGCUCACAUUGGUAAAAGAGAUCACAUUAAUUUUAAGAAGUUCCACAUCAGUAAAGAGAUAGAGAAAUUUGUCUCCUUAUAUGAACUUGGAAAAACCUCCACUAAUGAGUUAGCUUUUGAGGUUAAGUUAGCCCAGGUGUCAUAUCUUCACAAUUUGCAGUAUUCACUGUCCAUUUAUGCACUCACUAAUGAUUAUCUCAAACAAAAGCAACAUUAAAAACUGUCCCAUUAAAAUUAAAGGAGUUGAACUGAAAUUUCAUUCACCAAAUUACUCGAAUAUAACUUGUAAAUCCUCAAAAAAGUCAAAUUCAGAAAAUAACAACUUUAAAAACUUAAAUUUUCAAGUACAAUCAUGUUUCAGAGCUAAAUGGGAGUCCUUUAUGAUAUUUUAAACUAUUGGAUGAAAUUAUUGUUGUAAUUUAAUUAAUUUUGCCGACUAUUGGAUGAAACAAACUAUUGGAUGAAAUAUUGUUGUAAUUUAAUUUAGUCCCAAAGUAGAUAGGGAUUUUCAAAAAAAAAGAGUUGCACAUAUGUGUUCCAUGGAAAAACACACAUAUUCCUAAUUUUAGAAUUUUUCAAUCAAUAAAACAAAUACUUCGCAAAACCUAUCUCAAAUAUAGCUAAUUUAAUUACCUCUAAAUGAUGUAUAAGGAAAAAACAGUUGUAUUUAGAAGAAAAAAAACCUGAGAUUAAAUUUAAAGGGGCUCUUGAAUUAUUGGCCAACUAACUUCUAAUCGAGAAAUAAAUACAUGUGGUGGCUUGUGCGAAGGAGUGACAAGUGAAAACUUAUGAAAUCUGUGCCCCAAAUAUGAAGAGAAAUCCCAAAAACUAAAGAUAAUAAUUAUUUACCUGAUAAAAUAUCAGACGCAGAAAAAACAGAGAAGAGCACCAUAGUAGCAACAAUCUUCUCUGCAAUUCCUUGCUCUUUGUUUUGUUUUUAAACAGAGGAGAUAGAGAGCAACAUAGUAGCAGAGGAGAGAUGAAGGAAUUGCUACGUGUCUAUUCAUAAGCAAUAGGUAAGACACGUAUCUAGCCUAAAAAUGCAUUUCAG
rnacentral:lncRNA from 1 species